rnacentral:lncRNA from 1 species
GGGCUUGGACAAUGGAAAUUGGGUAAUCUGUAAACGGAAUGAUAGUUUGUAAAUUGUAAUGGGUUUCUUAACUCUAAUUUAUACAAAUUAACUAGUGUUUUAUAUUAUUCUUUUUAUUAUAAUAUAAUUUUUCUUCGGGUCGGUUUCAGAAGUUUUAGGGGUGGUUGAAAAAUUUUAGGGUGCGGAGUUGAAAAAUUUAGGGGGUACGGUCGGGAAUUUUGCUUAUAUAUAACAUUAAUUAUUGGUUUUGGUUUUAGUUUCAAGUUCUUUUCAAGUAAAUUCAGAUUUGAAAUUAGAUAGGUUUCGUGAUUCGUUAAGAGAUAGAACCAACAAUUUGUUCACUAUUCACGAAAAGAAUUGGGCCCAAAAUUAUGGUUAAGGGUAAAUAAAUUACAAAAAUAAAAACUUAGUGAUAGAGCAAAAACUUGAACUUGAGACCUUUACAUUAUUUUGAGAUGGUUUUUGCCACUACACCACCAAUAUUUUUUUGCAUAGUAAAAGGAUGAAUAUACUAAAUAUAUAAUUUAAUAAAUAUAUACAAGUUUAUAAAGACUUUUCGGGCCCUUUGAAAUUUUGGGCCUCGGGCGUCGGCACGGGUUUGCCGGGCCCAGAGCCGGCCCUGCGAAUCAAAUGGCUUAUAAUUAUAAAUGUUAUGUUAUCUUUGAAGAAGUCAAUGGACACCAUAAUUCUUUCUUAGUUGUGAUCAUUGAUGAUCACAAGGUGCGGCUUUGAGGUAGAUCAUCUUACCGAUUGAUCGUAAAAAUAAACUCUGUAGUUCAUUUCUGUAUAGAAUUAACAUUUUUGCAAAAUGCAAAACUUGCUCAAGUGUUUGGAUAUAUGAUCAUGGGUUUGAUUACUUGUAAGGUUGUGUAUUAUGUUUGCUUUAUGAUGCAAGUUUUUGGGAGAGCUUGAAACACUUGGCUGAAGGCGUACGGGAUGACUGGAUCGUUUUCAAGGUGCAAAAUUAAAGAAGAUGAAGGAAGUUAAUUAGUUGCUAAUGGAUGUGACCCUGAAAUUAAGGCAUGAGAAUGAUGAGAGGGAUGUUGGUGUAAUAUGUAUUAUGUUCUGUUUUUGGAAAACAAUGGGGGCUUGUUUUUUUGGACAGAGAAAUCUUGUAAAGAGAUUUGACCCACUUU